AUUGAACGCUGGCGGCAGGCUUAACACAUGCAAGUCGAGCGGGGGAAGGUAGCUUGCUACCGGACCUAGCGGCGGACGGGUGAGUAGUGCUUAGGAAUCUGCCUAUUAGUGGGGGACAACAUCUCGAAAGGGAUGCUAAUACCGCAUACGUCCUACGGGAGAAAGCAGGGGAUCUUCGGACCUUGCGCUAAUAGAUGAGCCUAAGUCGGAUUAGCUAGUUGGUGGGGUAAAGGCCUACCAAGGCGACGAUCUGUAGCGGGUCUGAGAGGAUGAUCCGCCACACUGGGACUGAGACACGGCCCAGGCUCCUACGGGAGGCAGCAGUGGGGAAUAUUGGACAAUGGGGGGAACCCUGAUCCAGCCAUGCCGCGUGUGUGAAGAAGGCCUUAUGGUUGUAAAGCACUUUAAGCGAGGAGGAGGCUACUCUAGUUAAUACCUAGGGAUAGUGGACGUUACUCGCAGAAUAAGCACCGGCUAACUCUGUGCCAGCAGCCGCCGUAACAC
rnacentral:rRNA from 1 species